rnacentral:lncRNA from 1 species
AUUUCAAUUAUGAAAUAAUCUCAACCGAGGAAAUCAAUAUUACUGCUCAUAAAUAGUUCAAAUUAGCACUAUCAGGAGCCUACUCAAACACCAUUUGUGAAUAUCUCUCUAUUUAAAUCUCAAGUUCUGAACACUACACUAUUCCAAAUAAAUAUGCACAUUCUUUUGUAUACAUCCAGUGCAUCUCCAUCAAUAAAGAUCUUAACGAAAACUUACCACUUUCCAAGAUGAUGUUACCUUCCUCAUAAUAACAUAUGUUGCAUGAUUCAAAUGAUUAUUUGAAACUCAGCAUAGAAAAAAAAUCUUAACAAAUAAAAAUAUCAUCAUUUUUAAGAAAAGUGAAGAUGCCAAUAUAAACCUGGCCAAUUGGGAAAUAUAAAAUUUACACUUGACUAACGUCCGCGCAUAAGAGAAAGCCUUUCUAGGUCAAAGCUACAACAUCAAGGAUCUGCAUAGAAAAAAAAUCUUAACAAAUAAAAAUAUCAUCAUUUUUAAGAAAAGUGAAGAUGCCAAUAUAAACCUGGCCAAUUGGGAAAUGUAAAAUUUACACUUGACUAACGUCCGCGCAUAAGAGAAAGCCUUUCUAGAUCAAAGCUACAACAUCAAGGAUCUCUCUGUCCUUGCGCCUAAAUUUCAGGCUUCAAAUCUUGUCUUCUGAACCUGAAAACAACCAAGUUUAUGCAGGAUAUUUGUGAAAUCGGUACAACUACAAUUGCUAUAUUAACAAAAAAUCCCAAAAACACUUAUAUUUUCUAGAUAUCAGAUAGAGAGAAACAAAAUAUGUAGAAAUCAAGAUGUGGACUGAAAAUAUGCAAAACAGUAAUCUACAUAAGGUUGAAAUUCAAACGCCGACAUCCAUUCAAAUGGGAUAAGUAAGUAAAGGAGUAAAAAAAUACAUGUUUGAACGAAGGU